AUGGCGGACGAGAAGCUCGCCAAGCUGCGCGAGGCCGUCGCCGGCCUCGGCCAGAUCAGCGACAAGGAGAAGUCCGGGUUCAUCAGCCUCGUCUCCCGCUACCUCAGCGGCAACGAGGAGCAAAUCGAGUGGGGCAAGAUCCACACGCCGACCGACGAGGUGGUGGUGCCAUACGACACCCUAGCGGCCCCGCCGGAAGACCUGGCGGCGACCAAGGCGCUGCUCGACAAGCUCGCCGUGCUCAAGCUCAACGGCGGCCUGGGGACCACCAUGGGGUGCACAGGCCCAAAGUCGGUCAUCGAGGUGCGAAACGGGUUCACCUUCCUCGACCUGAUCGUGGUCCAGAUCGAGUCCCUGAACAAGAAGUAUGGCAGCAACGUGCCGCUGCUCCUGAUGAACUCCUUCAACACCCAUGACGACACCUUGAAGAUUGUCGAGAAAUACGCCAAUUCAAACAUCCAAAUCCAUACGUUCAACCAGAGCCAGUAUCCUCGUGUCGUGGCCGACGAGUUCUUGCCGUGGCCUUCCAAGGGGAAGACUGACAAGGAUGGCUGGUACCCUCCUGGCCAUGGUGACAUCUUCCCAUCCCUGAUGAACAGCGGCAAGCUCGAUUUACUACUCUCACAGGGAAAAGAAUACGUUUUCAUCGCAAACUCAGAUAACUUGGGCGCUAUCGUUGACAUGAAGAUACUGAACCACUUGAUCCACAAGCAGAAUGAAUACUGCAUGGAGGUUACCCCGAAAACUUUGGCCGAUGUGAAAGGUGGCACACUGAUCUCAUAUGAAGGGAGGGUUCAGCUUCUGGAGAUUGCACAGGUUCCUGAUGCACAUGUCAAUGAGUUCAAGUCAAUUGAGAAAUUCAAGAUCUUCAACACCAACAAUCUAUGGGUGAGCUUGAAGGCUAUCAAACGCCUUGUCGAGGCUGAUGCACUCAAGAUGGAGAUCAUUCCAAACCCGAAGGAAGUUGAGGGCGUGAAAGUCCUUCAGUUGGAAACUGCAGCUGGAGCCGCGAUCAGGUUCUUUGACCACGCAAUCGGCAUGAAUGUUCCGAGGUCCCGGUUCCUACCGGUGAAGGCAACAUCAGACUUGCAGCUAGUACAGUCUGAUCUGUAUACCCUGGUUGAUGGCUUCGUUACACGUAAUGCAGCUAGAACAAAUCCAUCAAAUCCCUCAAUUGAACUUGGCCCUGAGUUCAAGAAGGUUGGGUGCUUCCUUGGCCGCUUCAAGUCGAUUCCUAGCAUUGUUGAGCUCGACAGCUUGAAGGUUUCCGGUGAUGUUUGGUUUGGUUCUGGCAUCGUGCUGAAGGGUAAGGUGACCAUCACAGCAAAACCUGGUGUUAAGCUGGAAAUCCCAGAUGGAAAAGUGAUUGAGAACAAGGACAUCAACGGCCCUGAGGACCUUUAA
rnacentral:rRNA from 1 species